AAAAAAAAAGAACAUGAAACCAAUUUUAAUCACGUGGCAUCAUAUUGACACCUGGAGGGAUGGAUGGAACUUUAGCUCCACCACACAGACCACUACCACUUCAACUAGAGAAGCUCAUAUCGUGGCCAAAGUUGGACAGAUUUUCACAGGAGUGGCAAAAGAGUGAUCACCAUAAACAGUCUGAAGAAGAGAGGAGCUAUUUCAAACAUGGAUGAGAUGCACUGACUUUUCUUUGGCAUGGCACUUAGCCAGUAACAUCACAUCACUUUGCUCAUAAGUGCACGCACACUUGUGUUUGGUGAAUUCUUAUUGUCCAGGUGUCUAAACAGUGUUUCAAUCGUUGCAGCUGUAAUUGGCACCAAAGUCCAACUUGACUAGAUUCAAGUGACAAGUAAAUCAAGUAUGUGAAAAGCUAAUUAAAAGCCAGGCAGCAGACCAUGAAAAUGGUUUGUGUGAAUUCUUAUUUUCUAAUGGGGGACUUCAAAUGAUUGUUGUGGCUUUUGGUUGUUGCAGAGGGAGAAAAUCUAUAACAUUCCUGUACUGCUAUAACUUAGUCACACAGAUAUGGGUCCAGUUUUGUUGCAUGCAUUCAGCAGGCUCUCGCUUCCAGAGCUGAAAAGAUCAGUCUCUUGUGCUGGCAAUUCACUAAGUUCUAACUCCCACACAUAAAGCAUCUGGAAAGCAAGGAGUUUUAGUGCACUGCGUCACCCAUCCAUCUGUAAGGGCUAAAUAUGGCAAACUCGGCUCAAGAAAACUAUUAUGCUCUACCACUUGAAAAGCUGCAGUAUAGUGAGAAUGUGUCCCCUAAAGAAGACUGAGCUUUUAGGGACAGGCUGUGAAUAUGCAGUCUGUUAGGACCAGGGCAAGCCUGCCCCUUCAUUGUGCAGGUUGGGGUAGAAGUGAAGCAUGUUUGUAUUAAAGACCAUUGACACCUCGUGUAAAGCUGAAUGAAAUACUGUUCUAUUCAUCAUAAAUUACAUGGAUUAACUUUUUGCUGGUUUUUAAUUACACUGUGUUGUAAAUUACAUGUGCACUACCUGGAGCUUUAUAAAUGCAAGGUCAGAAGCCCCAUGGAUCCACAUUUCAGAUCUAAGCCAAAGCUCAUUGGAGUCAAUGGGAGACUUUCCAUUGACAUCAGUGGCCUUUGGAUCAG